GGGGUUGUGGCUUAGCGGUAGAGCACUCACCUACCAUGUGCGAGGCCCUGGGUUCAAACCUCAGUACCA
rnacentral:tRNA from 1 species